rnacentral:rRNA from 1 species
GAUGAACGCUGGCGGCGUGCCUAAUACAUGCAGGUCGAGCGAACAGACGAGGAGCUUGCUCCUCUGACGUUAGCGGCGGACGGGUGAGUAACACGUGGAUAACCUACCUAUAAGACUGGGAUAACUUCGGGAAACCGGAGCUAAUACCGGAUAAUAUAUUGAACCGCAUGGUUCAAUAGUGAAAGACGGUUUUGCUGUCACUUAUAGAUGGAUCCGCGCCGCAUUAGCUAGUUGGUAAGGUAACGGCUUACCAAGGCAACGAUGCGUAGCCGACCUGAGGGGGUGAUCGGCCACACUGGAACUGAGACACGGUCCAGACUCCUACGGGAGGCAGCAGUAGGGAAUCUUCCGCAAUGGGCGAAAGCCUGACGGAGCAACGCCGCGUGAGUGAUGAAGGUCUUCGGAUCGUAAAACUCUGUUAUUAGGGAAGAACAAAUGUGUAAGUAACUAUGCACGUCUUGACGGUACCUAAUCAGAAAGCCACGGCUAACUACGUG